AUUGAACGCUGGCGGCAUGCUUUACACAUGCAAGUCGAGCGGCAGCGCGGGGGGCAACCCUGGCGGCGAGCGGCGAACGGGUGAGUAAUGCAUCGGAACGUACCCUGGAGUGGGGGAUAACGCCGCGAAAGCGGCGCUAAUACCGCAUAUGCUCUGAGGAGGAAAGUGGGGGACCGCAAGGCCUCACGCUCUGGGAGCGGCCGAUGUCCGAUUAGCUAGUUGGUGAGGUAAAGGCUUACCAAGGCGACGAUCGGUAGCUGGUCUGAGAGGAUGAUCAGCCACACUGGGACUGAGACACGGCCCAGACUCCUACGGGAGGCAGCAGUGGGGAAUUUUGGACAAUGGGCGGAAGCCUGAUCCAGCCAUGCCGCGUGAGUGAAGAAGGCC
rnacentral:rRNA from 1 species